rnacentral:rRNA from 1 species
UACGGGGGGGGCAAGCGUUGUUCGGAAUUACUGGGCGUAAAGGGCUCGUAGGCGGCCAACUAAGUCAGACGUGAAAUCCCUCGGCUUAACCGGGGAACUGCAUCUGAUACUGUGCGGCUAGAGUGCGGAAGGGGCAACUGGAAUUCUUGGUGUAGCGGUGAAAUGCGUAGAUAUCAAGAGGAACACCUGCGGCGAAGGCGGGUUGCUGGGCCGACACUGACGCUGAGGCGCGAAAGCCAGGGGAGCGAACGGG